UUUUGAUCACAAUGGAAAGAAGCUGACUAAAACAGAAGGGCUGUGAAUCCUGGCUUCUCUCUUCCCAAGUUUUCUGAUCUUAGACAAAUAACUUAGUAUACAGAGAACACUGAUUUUUGAAUCAAGGGGCUUGAGUGUGAACUCUUCCACUUACUCUGUUUCUUCAUCUGUAAAAUUGACAGAAAAACAAUAGGGUUGUUAUAAAGCUUGAAUUGAUUUUAAAAACAUUAUAAAUUAUAGAAUGAUUAGAAGGAAUAUGGCUUAAUUCUAGAGUAAUGACUGUUGUUCAUUACCUACUCAUACAGACUUAAACCUCCAAAACCUGUCCUCUUCAUAGACAUUAUCUUGGGGCUUGUGUGUUUACUCUUUUAAAGCAACCACUGUGCAAAAUAAUUUUAGAAGUUCUCCUCCAUGUUUGCCUGCCUUUAAUUCUUUUUUCAUUGGUAGCAGAUUUUGACACUUUAUAAGUAGAUUUGAUUUUUGGAAUAGUCAUAAUAAUUUCUUAGGUCAAAGUAGCAUAAAUAAAAUGAUUGAUUUAUGAGGGCCAUGAUUUUUUAUCAAAAGCUUUGUGACAAUAAAUAAAGCUGAUUUUCAUAUGUGACUUAUAAACUGCCAUCCAUGGUUUUAAAUUGAAAUUUGAUGGCAACAUCCUUGAGUACUAUGGAUCGAAUAUCUGUGUCUCUGCCAAAUUUGUCUGUUGAGAUCCUAACCUCCAAGGUGAUGAUAUUAGGAGAAGGAGCACUAUUGGCUCUUCCCAUAUGAAUGAUAUUAGUACCAUUAUGCAAGAGGACCCACACACACGACACACACACACACACACACACACACAUCUCCCUUAUUUUAUUUUAUUUCACACAUCUAAGUUUUAAAUACAGGGCCCCAUACAAGGUAGGGAAGUGUUCCACCACUGAGUUCCCCCACUCCUAGUCUCUUCUUAGGUUUUAUUUUGAGACCGGGUCUCUCUAAAUUGCCCAGGCUGGCCUUGAACUUAUCCUAACACCUCCAGCCUCCUGAGCAGCUGGGAUUACUGGCAUGUGCCACCACAUCAGCCUCCAUGCCCUUUUCAUCGUGUGAAGAUACAAUGAGAAGAUGGCCAUUUAUGAGCAAGGAAGCAGGACCUCACCAGACAUGGAAUCUGCCUGCACUCUGAUAUUAGACUUUACAUCCUCCAGAACUGUAUGAAAUACAUUUCUGUUGUUUGUUGUAAUUGUUGUUGUUUGUUUCUUUGUAAGUCUAUAAUACUUUGUUGUAGGGCUGGGGAUAUAGCUCAGUUGAUAGAGUGCUUGCCUCCCAUGCACAAGGCCCUGGAUUUACUCCCCAGAACCACAAAAAAAUAAAAUGAAAUACUUUGUUGUAGCAGCCUGAACAGACUAAGACACUAAGAUUAAAAAAAUUCACUAUAUUUUGAAUUUCAAUUGAAUAUAUUAUAGCAUGAUAGUAUCUGUAUAAUGUUUGAAAUGAGCCGAGAGUCUAUGGGAUAAAACCCCAGUCACUUCCCUCCUACAAGAAUGAAUAGUUACUUAAAAUGUGACUCAAUUUGAAAGAAAAUAAAAGACACACACACACACACAAAUAUAUCUCAUUUCAUAUAGGAAACCAAAUUUCCAGUGUACAAUAAAAUCUAUUUUCCUUGUUGUGACCUGCAAAGCCCUCCAUGUUGUGGUGCUCACCUCCCUCUGCAGUCUAUUUAGGGUCUCCUCUUCUCCUUGAUGCCUUUUUGCUGCUGUUUACAACACCAGACGAUUCCCACCUGCAUAUUCUCCCUGGACUCCCCCUUCUCCAUCAUCUCUUAUUGUUGAGUCAAUUGCAUCCUCAGAGAAUCCUUUCCAGGCCACCCAGUCUGAAAUGGCCUGCCUUACUCUCCCGUCAC
rnacentral:lncRNA from 1 species